rnacentral:tRNA from 1 species
UGGCUCAGUGGUAGAGCGCUUGCCUUGCAUGCAAGCCUGAGGCCCUGAGUUCGAUUCCUCAG